rnacentral:lncRNA from 1 species
AUGUAUAUUUCGCUCCUUUCCCUCAUUCUGCUGCUCUGCUGCCUGAGGUGUGUGGACACUUGGUCACUCAGUCGUGUCUGUUGGAGACCCUCUGGACUGUGUCGCCCACCGGGCUCCUGUGUCCAUGGGAUUUUCCAGUCACGAAUACUGCGUUGGGUUGCCAUUUCCUACUCCAGGAAAUCUUCCUGUUCUGAGAUGCUGGUAUUCAAAGAAGAAGAAAAAAAAGAAUCACUUCUACAUAGUUUUGUUACAUGUCCUGGUGACUUGGCUUCAUUUAAGCAGUAAUUCCUGCAGAUGCAUGAUGGAGCUUUCUAAUGGAUGCAUACCAAAGCAAAGCACAAAGUCGUUCAAAUAAGGAUGGGUGGUGGUAUUAUUCCCUGAGAGUUCAUACACUCCUAAUACACAAACCUAAGCCUCCAACAAAUAUGUAGGGGUUUUUUUUUUCUUCCAUAAAGGACUACAUUUUCCUUCUUUCUUUUAAUUGAAAGUUAACUUAAAAAAAAUUUUAAUUUAAAAUUUAAAUUUCGGCUGCACUGGGUCUUUGUUGUGGCAGCGGGCUUUCUCUAGUUGCGGCGUGCAGGCUUCUCUUGCGGAGCACGGGCUCUAGAGAGCGCUGGCUCAGCAGUCGUACUGUGUGGGCUCUCCAGCUGUGGCAUGCAGUCUUAGUUGCCCUGCAGUAUGUGGGCUCUUAGUUCCCUGACCAGGGAUCAAAACUCUGCCCUCUGCAUUGAAAGGUAGAUUCUUAACCCCUGGACCACCGGGCACGUCCCUGCAUUUCUAUAAAUGAAUGAAUUUCUAUUACAGAUCUCAGGUAUGAGAGGAACCCUGAUUCUGUGACAAACAGAAUUAAAAUACGGCUUGUUGGUAUAGAACCUGGUAAGGAGGUUUAUGUGCUACAGAAUCAUAUAUCAAAUUAAAAACUAGUUUAUGAGAGUUGUUGAAAUAAUAUUCUGAAUAGUUCUCCCAAAUUUAUCCAACCUAGUAAUUUUCUGUAAUGAAAUGGGAAUUGUUUUAUAGACCAGCCCUUAUAUGUAUCUACUUUAUUCCUGAUUGGUUAAAGAUUUUGAUGCAUGAGACAAGCUAAUACUGUUCAUUGCCAUUUUUGUGUUUAUAGAUAUGGAUGGUUUUCCUUUAUCUUAAGUUCAAGUUAAGUUAAACUUACCUUAAGACAGAACCAAGUUUAAAUCCUGGCUCAGGUAUCUUAGGCAAGAUACUAGGAAUUCCUAGUUCAUACAGUUGUUGGAAGGAUUAAGUAACAUAUUGUAUAUGUGGUUAUCAGAAAGCCUGACAUAUAAGGAUUCAUUAUAAAUAUUCAUAGGCAUUAUUUAUAAGCAUUCAUUUUAAAUGUUAGUAUUUGCAAAAGGAUGUUCCCUUCUGUUUACUUUUCAGCGUUCUAUUUGAUUAUCUCUGUUUAUCUCCUGUAGUACACUGGACCAGUAUACUCAGGAAAUAGUUUAUAAUCUUUUUGUAGAUAUUAACAGCUCAAAUUAUGCUUUUUCCCCCUAGUGUUUUACUUUACAUGUUCUAGCACUUUGGAUUACUUUGCCUUUUCAUACAAUAGAGAAAACCACCAGUAACACCUCUGUCCUCCCAUCAUUCUGACAUUCAUGGAAACUUACUAGUAUUAGUGAACUUGGCAGAUUUCCUGAUGCUGCUUUUAUAGUUAUUUAGAAGAUACAAAAUAACACCAGAUCCAGUGUCUUUCCNNNNNNNNNNNNNNNNNNNNNNNNNNNNNNNNNNNNNNNNNNNNNNNNNNNNNNNNNNNNNNNNNNNNNNNNNNNNNNNNNNNNNNNNNNNNNNNNNNNAUAGUUAUUUAGAAGAUACAAAAUAACACCAGAUCCAGUGUCUUUCCUUUCAUCCAUUCAGUAGUUAGAAAAUGCCUACCACCUCCAGAAACUAUGCUUCAUACUGGGGAUAUAGGACAUAGCUGUUGCUCUCACAGUUUUCACAGGCUAGUGAAGGAGACGGGCAAAUCAAGAAAUGAUUGCAGCAGCAAUAUAUAAACCCCUAGGAAUCAGUACUCAUUUCUGUUUGGAUGAACUGGGAGAAGCUUAACAGAGUAUGUUCCUUGAGCUUGGAGAGAUAAAGAUGAAUUUCAUAUACAGACAAAAGAUAGCAUGUGCCUGAAGGUUCAGAUACGUGAAGCAUGGUCAUGUAUUCAGGGACUGUAAAAUAGUAUGAACAGAAUCUGGGAAAUAAGGGUGGAGCUCAAGUUAGCAAUACUUAGAUGGCUACUAAAAGGCUAGAUUUGGCUCUAUAGGGUCACACAGUCGGACAUGACUGAAGUGCCUUAGCAGCAGCAGAAGCAAAGGUCAGUUAUUGAAGAAUUAGGGAAGGAGGAUAAGUAUUUGAGAAAAUUCCACUAGCAAUGUGAUGGUGGGAGUAGGGAGUGAGAUUGGAGGCGCCAAGGCUAAUCAGAAGACUCAAGCUGAGCUAAUACUCCUGUGCCAGGCAAUGUAGUAAGCAUUUUGUACUGGUUAGCUCAUUUAAACCUUAAAAAAGUAAGAGGCAGGUAUUGUUCCCGUUUAACAGCUUGAGAAUCAUAAUUUUCCACUGGUCACAUAACUUGUGAGUGAGAAAAAUGGGCAUUCAGGCCCAGGUAUGUCUAACAAAGUACUUGCUUCAGAUCAGUAUAACAACUGGAAAGAAGUGAGGACAGCAACAGUUGAGUAUUAACAUGAAGAAGAGAGCCAAGAAUACAAAAAAUGUUAGGCAGAUAGGACCUCCAUCAGCGAGCGUCAAAGUUAGCAGUGAUGCGCAGGGUUUCGGCAAAAAACAACUAUCUUUAACAUUAUCAUUAAACAGGGUCAAGAAUUGAGAAGGAGAAAUUGAGGGGAAAAGAAAGAGGUCUUUUCAGACAUGAAUUUUAGGCAUGUAACAACGUGUAGUGGGCAGCUAGGUACAUGAGUCUAAAACGUACAAGAAAAGUGACUUGAAGGGUGAGCCAUGAGUGGUAUGACUUGACAAGACUGCUCAAAGAGAAUUAAAAAAGGGCAGAGGAAGAGAAGCUAGUAGAAGAACCUAGUAGUCAAGGAGCUCGAAUUUGAAAAUAGUAGUUUUGAGGAAUCAAGGGUUUUCAAGGAUUGGGGUCAAUAAGUUCAAAAUCAAGACCCGAUAAUUCACAUCUAUCUAGUUGUUAACAUUUUGGAAUAAGUCUGGAUAUCAAAUGUUGGCCAAAAUGUUGGAAAACAAUAGAGGAACUCUCAGGUAUCCUGUCUUAGAGUGUAUAGAUUGGUAUAAUCAUUAUGAGGGCAAUAUUCAUUUACUAAAAUGAAACGUGCAUAAACCAGCUGUUCUGAUAGGAUACCUGUAUCUGUAGAUCUAACUCUCGAUAUAGAUUUCUGUGUCUGUAGAUAUAUAGAGAUAUGCCCUGUAAACAUUCCCACACAUUUGCCAGAGAUACGUGCAAGGAUGUUCAUUGCAAUAUUGUUUAUAAUAAUGAAACUUGGAAAUAAAAUGUAACAUAAAUGAGUAAAUUGUGGUAUAUUCAUUUAAUGAAAUGCUCUACAAUUCAAUAAGCUAGCAUUAAGUGAAUCAAGAAUUGCUCUCCAAAACAGGAAUGACCCAAAAGCAAAAAGGAAGUUAAAUGACAUUAUAUUUCUUAUAUGUAGAAAUUUUAAAAUUUCUUCUAAAAUUUUUAAGCCAGAUAAUUCUAAAUAUAGCUUAUGUGAAUAUUCACAUAAAGUAAAAGUUUAAAAACAGCUUUGGGAAUUUUAAACUGUCCAGAACCACUGUCUAGAAUUCGGGACAGUGGUUCUCUUUAAACAAGGGCAAUUCAUGUUGGGAAGAUGAGGGUCCUUUAGUUUUUAUUUCUUAAAAAACAUGUUUGAGAUAAACAUGACAAAAUGAAGAGUGAUGAGGGGCUUCCCUGGUGGCUCAGUGGUAAGGAAUCCACCUGCCGAUGCAGGAGACACGGUUUCAGUCCCUGGUCCGGGAAGAUCUCACCGUGGAGCACUCAAGCCAUGCUUUACAACUAUCGACCCGUCCGGGCUCGGCAGCCUGGGAACCACAACGACUGAAGCCUACGAGCCCCAGAGCCCGUGCUGCGCAACAAGAAAAGCCACUGCAAUGAAAAGCGCCUGCUUGCCACACUAGAGAAAAGCCCAAACAGCAAGGGAGACUCAUUCGGAGGAUGUGUAACAAUUUUUCCAGAAGAAAAGAGACUCAAAUAAUAUCUAAAACAUUGCCCUUUGUAAUUUCCAAAGUACUAAGUCAGGACAUGACUUAGCAACUAAAUAAUAGUUGCUGAGGUUCCUGACAUUGUACAGGAGACAGGGAUCAAGACCAUCCCCAUG